rnacentral:rRNA from 1 species
UACGUAGGGGCAAGCGUUGUCCGGAAUCAUUGGGCGUAAAGAGCGUGUAGGCGGCCCGAUAAGUCCGCUGUGAAAGUCCAGGGCUCAACCCUGGAAUGCCGGUGGAUACUGUCGGGCUCGAAUCCGGAAGAGGUGAGUGGAAUUCCUGGUGUGAGCGGUGAAAUGCGCAGAUAUCUGGAGGAACACCGGUGGCGAAGGCGGCAUCCUGGACCAACACUGACACUGAGGAGCGAAAGCCAGGGGAGCAAACGGG